rnacentral:misc_RNA from 1 species
GAUGAAGAACGUAGCGAAAUGCGAUACGUAAUGUGAAUUGCAGAAUUCAGUGAAUCAUCGAAUCUUUGAACGCAUAUUGCGCUCUCUGGUAUUCCGGAGAGCAUGCUUGUUUGAGUAUCAGUAAACACCUCAACUUCCAUAUCUUUUUUGAAAUGGGAGUUGGACUUGAGUGAUCCCAACGCUUUUCCUCACCGAAAAGUGGCGGGUUACUUGAAAUGCAGGUGCAGCUGGACUUUUCUCUGAGCUAUAAGCAUAUCUAUUUAGUCUGCCUAAAAAACAGAUUAUUACCUUUGCUGCAGCUAACAUAAAGGAGAUUAGUUCUUGUGCUGACUGAUGCAGGAUUCACAAAGACGGCUUCUGCCGACUUUGUAAACUCGAUCUCAAAUCAAGUAAGACUACCCGCUGAACUUAAGCAUAUCAAUAAGCGGAGGA